UACAGAGGUCUCAAGCGUUGUUCGGAUUUACUGGGCGUAAAGGGCGCGCAGGCGGCGCAUUUUGUCAGGCGUGAAAGCCCCCGGCUCAACUGGGGAGGGUCACGCGAUACUGAUCGACUCGAAGGCAGGAGAGGGAAGUGGAAUUCCCGGUGUAGUGGUGAAAUGCGUAGAUAUCGGGAGGAACACCAGUGGCGAAGGCGACUUCCUGGCCUGUUCUUGACGCUGAGGCGCGAAAGCUAGGGGAGCAAACGGG
rnacentral:rRNA from 1 species